rnacentral:rRNA from 1 species
UACGUAGGGCGCAAGCGUUGUCCGGAUUUAUUGGGCGUAAAGAGCUCGUAGGCGGCUCGGUAAGUCGGAUGUGAAACCUCCAGGCUCAACCUGGAGACGCCAUCUGAUACUGCCGUGGCUUGAGUCCGGUAGAGGAGCAGGGAAUUCCUGGUGUAGCGGUGAAAUGCGCAGAUAUCAGGAGGAACACCAGCGGCGAAGGCGCUGCUCUGGGCCGGUACUGACGCUGAGGAGCGAAAGCGUGGGGAGCGAACAGG